AAACUGGAGAGUUUGAUCCUGGCUCAGAACGAACGCUGGCGGCGUGGAUUAGGCAUGCAAGUCGAACGAGACUCCUUGAACAGAGGCUUUGGCCAAAGGGAUAGGAUGUUCUAGUGGCAAACGGGUGAGUAACGCGUGGGCAAUUUACCUUUAAGUUGCGGAUAACCCCUCGAAAGAGGAGCUAAUACGUGAUGUGGCUAUUUUUACAUAAGUUUAAAUAGCUAAAGGCGGGGACCUUUCGGGGCCUGCCGUUUAAAGAUGAGCCCGCGUCCUAUCAGCUUGUUGGUGAGGUAAUGGCUCACCAAGGCAUUUGACGGGUAGCUGGUCUGAGAGGAUGGUCAGCCACACUGGGACUGAGACACUGCCCAGACUCCUACGGGAGGCUGCAGUCGAGAAUCUUUAGCAAUGGGCGAAAGCCUGACUAUGCGACGCCGCGUGAGCGAUGAAGGCCUUCGGGUCGUAAAGCUCUGUCACAACGGAUGAAAGUCCAGUAUGUGAAUAAUGUAUUGGAUUGACAGUACGUUGAGAGGAAGCCACGGCUAACUCCGUGCCAGCAGCCGCGGUAAUACGGAGGUGGCAAGCGUUGUUCGGAUUUAUUGGGUGUAAAGGGUGUGUAGGUGUCCUUGUAAGUCGGGUGUGAAAUCCUUCAGCUCAACUGGAGAAUUGCGCUCGAAACUGCAAGGAUUGAGUGUAUGAGAGGAGAGGGGAAUUCUUGGUGUAAGGGUGAAAUCUGUAGAUAUCAAGAAGAACACCGGCGGCGAAGGCGCCUCUCUGGCAUACAACUGACACUGAAACACGAAAGCGUGGGUAGCAAACAGGAUUAGAUACCCUGGUAGUCCACGCCGUAAACGAUGUGCACUAGGUGUGCCCUGUCAAAGGGGCGUGCCGCAGCUAACGCAUUAAGUGCACCACCUGGGGAGUACGUCGGCAACGAUGAAACUCAAAGGAAUUGACGGGGACCCGCACAAGCGGUGGAGCAUGUGGUUUAAUAGGACGCUACGCCUGGAACCUUACCAGGGCUUGACAUGUAUUUGACAGCCCUAUGAAAGUAGGGCUUUCUCUCAAGGACAGAUACACAGGUGUUGCAUGGCUGUCGUCAGCUCGUGCCGUGAGGUGUUGGGUUAAGUCCCGCAACGAGCGCAACCCUUGCCCUUAGUUGCCCCUUUUGGGGAUCUCUAAGGGGACUGCCGUUGAUAAAACGGAGGAAGGUGGGGAUGACGUCAAGUCAGUACGGCCCUUACGCCCUGGGCGACACACGUGCUACAAUCCCUGCUACAAAGCGUUGCCAAACCGUGAGGUGGAGCUAAUCGCAAAAAAGCAGGGCCAGUUCGGAUUGAAGGCUGCAAUUCGCCUUCAUGAAGUUGGAAUCGCUAGUAAGCGCGUAUCAGCCACGACGCGCUGAAUACGUUCCCGGGUCUUGUACACACCGCCCGUCAAGCCACCUGAGUUGACUGCACCCGAAGCCGCUGACCCAACCGCAAGGAGGGAGGCGUCGAAGGUGUGGUUAGUAAGGGGGACUAAGUCGUAACAAGGCAGCCGUACCGGAAGGUGUGGCUGGAUCACCUCCUUU
rnacentral:rRNA from 1 species